GAUGAACGCUAGCUACAGGCUUAACACAUGCAAGUCGAGGGGCAGCGUGUACAGGUGCUUGCACCAGUAUGACGGCGACCGGCGCACGGGUGAGUAACGCGUAUCCAACCUGCCAUAUACUCGGGUAUAGCCCGGUGAAAACCGAAUUAACCCCCGAUAGUGUCCUUUGCAGGCAUCUAAUUAGGACUAAAGUUUACGGUAUAUGAUGGGGAUGCGUCUGAUUAGCUUGCCGGCGGGGUAACGGCCCACCGGGGCAUCGAUCGGUAGGGGUUCUGAGAGGAAGGUCCCCCACACUGGUACUGAGACACGGACCAGACUCC
rnacentral:rRNA from 1 species